rnacentral:sRNA from 2 species
ACCGCAAGAGAUCGACGUUUGGAACACGGGACAGUCGAUGGGGGUUCGCGAUGGAGCCAAAGUUAAAACGUCAGCCCUUGUUGCAAGAAAUACACGUUCGAAUGUAAAAUACGCAGUACUGCAGAACAAAAUAAACUGCAGUGGCUGACGCCCAAGUCAAUAUCUGCAUGCCUCAGCACGGAGAGUGACCUGGGGAAGUGUCCUGCAUGUGGAUUUUUCCGUUGGCUGGUUGCCGGAGAAGGUUCUCACCAACACCAUCACAUACACAACCCAAUUACUAGUGGAUGGUUUGCUACAUGAUCAGUGAUCGGCAUUCGGUCACCGAUAAAGUCAAUCUCCACGACAAUGCUCUGUUAUGCCUCCCAGGUGCAUUUACUUGAAUAUAAGAUGG